AGAAGAAUCUUGUUAGGUGAGAAGGGUGUUGAGAUAAAGGUAUACUUUGGGGGGCAAGAAGAGAAAUUCAGACAUAUCUCUAGGGAAAAACCAUAUGAAACGUUUUACUGCUAAAUGCAUAACACUUAACACUAAAUAAAGAAGGAGGGUGACCAUGGCUACUGAAGAGAUUCAAAGGCAGUCUGUGCAUUGCUUGUAAAGAACUGACUGAAAAAUAUAUAUACUGUAAGGCAGAUACAGUAUUCUUGCACAAUAAUCCAGCGUUAAUUUCUAUUGUCUUUUGAGUGCCAGAGCCUCCUGAAUACCACAGAAAAAUCGGAAGCAGCUCUAUUGUGUAAGAGCCAGCAUAGCAAGGUGCAACCCCAGGGAGAGCUGUGAUUGAUACUCCUCCACCUCUGUUAGCAGGGGUUCCACACAAAAGAGAGUGUUAGGCUCACCGAUGACCCAUGAUGAAAAAGAAUUCACUUUUUUU